rnacentral:lncRNA from 1 species
AUGUGCUAAACUCAGCUACCAGUUACAAAUUAUCUAUUUUCAGUCUUAUUAAUUAGCUAGCUAGUUCUUUAAGGAAAAAAUGGCUGCAGCCAAAUCAGCUAUUGGUGCUGGAAAGGUGAAUAGUGAUUGUAUGCCUAGUUAGACCUAGAUUUCUUUCUUUUUCAAGUUUGUGUGUGGUUUUUGGGAAUCAAUUCAUAAACAACUAAGGGUAACUUAUCUUUUACAUCCCUGUGGUUUGAAGGUAGAGUAUCACUGGUAAUUUAGUAAUUUACUGGAUGAUAGAGUAUCACUGGCACUAGCAGUAAUGUCUACUGCUUUAUUAACGGAAAAGGUGAAAGGUAAUUCACCUUUAAUUUUUCGGUUAAAACUGACGGUCAAUGAUAAUAACUCAAAAUCAAACUACUAAAUUGUAAGCUUCUUCUAAGUGAUGUAGUUUCUUAGUAAUUGGUUUGGAUUUACUUUUCUGGUUGUUUGUCUGUGUGAAAGGAUUCUAAUUGACAUUUUGGAACUCAAUUGUUUUGGGUUUUCUUACCAAAAAAAAAAUGUGUGGGGUUUGCAGAACGACAUAGAUGCACUAGAACCAGUGAAGCCGGCUGACCCUCGCGUGAUCGAGAUCGGACGAUUUGCAGUGACAGAACACGGUCAUGCGCUGCUUUUCGUCGGCGUGGUUGGCGGAUUCAGGUGGGCCAUUCCUGGAGGCGAUCACUACGCACUUAUCAUUGAAACUCAGGAUGAUAACGGCGCCACAUAUCUCCAUAAAGCACUUGUCGUUAUGGUCGAAGUGGAAGGACAACCCUUGAGACUCAUCUGGUACAAGAAUUAAUCAAGCACUACUCUUGAUCAUCAACUGAGGAUCAACGACUUCAAGUACUUUAAUUUUCUAGUGUCUAUAUAUGGUGUGGUUUUCAGUUUAUGCAUGCAUGGAUGAUGUACUGCUGCCGUGCAUACAUCUUCCCAUUGUUGUACUAGUAUGUCAAAUAAGGUGCACUUAAACCAACAAAAAUGCACCAUUCCAUCUGUGUUCGAGUUUGUAUCUGUGUCUUUUAUGUCUGUGUUUGUAUCCUUGUACUAGUAUGUAAAGGUGCACUUUUACGAACAAAAAUGCACCAUUAAAUAAAUAAAAACAGCCAUGGGUUUGAGUUUGUAUCCGUGUAUUUUGUUUCUCUAUUACUUGCAUGCAGGUUCCCAUCUCUCAGUCUUGUAUGUCAACUACCAUAUUCAUGACUAGUUGUGAAUUCUGAUAACUAGUUAAGUG